rnacentral:rRNA from 2 species
AUCGGGGUUGCGGACAGUGCCUGGUGGGUAGUUUGACUGGGGCGGUCUCCUCCCAAAGCGUAACGGAGGAGCACGAAGGUGGGCUAAUCACGGUUGGACAUCGUGAGGUUAGUGCAAUGGCAUAAGCCCGCUUGACUGCGAGAAUGACAAUUCGAGCAGGUGCGAAAGCAGGUCAUAGUGAUCCGGUGGUUCUGAAUGGAAGGGCCAUCGCUCAACGGAUAAAAGGUACUCCGGGGAUAACAGGCUGAUACCGCCCAAGAGUUCAUAUCGACGGCGGUGUUUGGCACCUCGAUGUCGGCUCAUCACAUCCUGGGGCUGAAGUCGGUCCCAAGGGUAUGGCUGUUCGCCAUUUAAAGUGGUACGCGAGCUGGGUUUAGAACGUCGUGAGACAGUUCGGUCCCUAUCUGCCGUGGGCGUUGGAGAAUUGAAAGGGGCUGCUCCUAGUACGAGAGGACCGGAGUGGACGAACCUCUGGUGUUCGGGUUGUGUCGCCAGACGCAUUGCCCGGUAGCUAAGUUCGGGAUCGAUAACCGCUGAAAGCAUCUAAGCGGGAAGCGAGCCUUGAGAUGAGUUCUCCCUGAUACUUUAAGUAUCCUAAAGGGUUGUCGUAGACUACGACGUUGAUAGGCAGGGUGUGUAAGCGUUGUGAGGCGUUGAGCUAACCUGUACUAAUUGCCCGUGAGGCUUAACCAUACAACACCCAAGGGGUUU